GCACGAACCCAAGAAUUCCUCGCAGCCUUCGAUAUCGUCACCUGGACCUUUCAUAGUGUACCCAUGCGAGAGCAAACUGUAGCCUUCAAACAUUACCCAGCCUCUGCUGUGGGCUGUGAACACUGAAGAGGUGGCACAAUU
rnacentral:snoRNA from 1 species